rnacentral:rRNA from 1 species
AUUGAACGCUGGCGGCAGGCCUAACACAUGCAAGUCGAACGAGUGGCGGACGGGUGAGUAAUGUAUGGGAAACUGCCUGAUGGAGGGGGCUAACUACUGGAAACGGUAGCUAAUACAGCAUACCAUCAGAUGUGCCCAGAUGGGAUUAGCUUGUUGGUGGGGUAAAGGCUCACCAAGGCGACGCGCCCUAGCUGGUCUGAGAGGAUGACCAGCCAAACGGGAACUGAGAAACGGUCCAGACUCCUACGGGAGGCAGCAGUGGGGAAUAUUGCACAAUGGGCGAAAGCCUGAUGCAGCCAGGCCGCGUGUAUGAAGAAGGCCUUCGGGUUGUAAAGUACUUUCAGCGGGGAGGCGUUACCCGCAGAAUAAGCACCGGCUAACUCCGUGCCAGCAGCCGCGGUAAUAC